GUCGGAGUUCAGUCUUCCCAGGCCCACCACGCUUCGCCGUCGGCUUCGCAUGGCACCGCCAGGCAGAACGACGAGGCGAAGCGCGUCCGGCAUAGCCCGAAGGGCGACGCCGGACAGAAAGAGCGCUUCGUCUUCUGGUUACGGGGCCAUAGCUCAGCUGGGAGAGCGCGUGCUUUGCAAGCAUGAGGUCGUCGGUUCGAUCCCGUCUGGCUCCACCAGAUGGUUUGAUCACCGAGAUCUUGACCGUCGUCCGCGAAACAUCACUUCGCAUCCUGCUAGUCUGGAUAGACAGCAAGUUGCGUGUUUUCUGACAUCGUAAAGAGGAGAUCGAUCCGAGUUGGAUCGUGCAACAUAUCGUUGCGCGAGCCUUCAUUAUCUCCGGAUCAUUUCGGCGCUCGCUUCCAGCCGUGAGGUUGGAUGCGGGUUGUAAAUGAUCCUUUUAGCGAAGCUUGACCGCCUCGCUAUCGGAACGAUCUUACGAAGCAAGCUGGUCUUUCUAGUCAAUGUCCGGCUGUACGUAGCAUUCAUCGAGGGUGCGCGCCCGAGAUUUCGGUCUCUUGGCAAUCGUACAGACAACAUUCUGCCGAGUGUGUGGACAUUGAUAAUGAGAGCAAUCAAGUGCCUUAAGGGUGUUCGGUGGAUGCCUUGGCGCUGAGAGGCGAUGAAGGACGUGCUACGCUGCGAUAAGCCGUGGGGAGCUGCGAAGAAGCUUUGAUCCGCGGAUUUCCGAUG
rnacentral:misc_RNA from 3 species